AAUAUUUCACAAUGGGUGAAAGCCUGAUGCAGCAACGCCGCGUGAGCGAUGAAGGCUUUCGGGUCGUAAAGCUCUGUCCUAAGGGAAGAUAAUGACGGUACCUUAGGAGGAAGCCGCGGCUAACUACGUGCCAGCAACCGCGGUAAUACGUAGGGGGCAAGCGUUAUCCGGAUUCAUUGGGCGUAAAGGGUGCGUAGGCGGCCCUAUAGGUCAGAGGUAAAAGGCUACGGCUAAACCGUAGGAAGCCUUUGAAACUGUAGGGCUUGAGUGCAGGAGAGGAGAGGGGAAUUCCUAGUGUAGCGGUGAAAUGCGUAGAUAUUAGGAGGAACACCAGUGGCGAAGGCGACUCUCUGGACUGCAACUGACGCUGAGGCACGAAAGCGUGGGGAGCGAAC
rnacentral:rRNA from 1 species